UACAAAUUAAUAAAACAACACUUAAUUCAACUACAAAAUCAUGGAAAACUAACAUGAGUGUGAUAAACGUUCGAUAAUCUAAAGGAAUGACUAAAAUUUAUUCAGAAAUACUAACUGGAAUGCAAAGAAUUCUACUACUAACAGCAGAUUACUAGAAACUGUACUAAAUCUUAAGAAUCAUAUACCACAAAAGUUACUUGGCAGCAACAGCUUCAACUGGACCACAGACUACCGAAAUGUCUACUAAAGAAACC